rnacentral:rRNA from 1 species
AGGACGAACGCUGGCGGCGUGCUUAACACAUGCAAGUCGAGCGGUAAGGCCUUUCGGGGUACACGAGCGGCGAACGGGUGAGUAACACGUGGGUGAUCUGCCCUGCACUUCGGGAUAAGCCUGGGAAACUGGGUCUAAUACCGGAUAUGACCUCCUAUCGCAUGGUGGGUGGUGGAAAGAUUUAUCGGUGCAGGAUGGGCCCGCGGCCUAUCAGCUUGGUUGGUGGGUAAUGGCCUACGAAGGCGACGACGGUAGCCGACCUGAGAGGGUGACCGGCACGACGUGGGACUGAGACACGGCCCAGACUCCGUAGGGAGCAGCAGGUGGGAAU